rnacentral:rRNA from 1 species
GACGAACGCUGGCGGCGUGCUUAACACAUUCAAGUCGAACGGAAAGGCCCUGCUUUUGUGGGGUGCUCGAGUGGCGAACGGGUGAGUAACACGUGAGUAACCUGCCCUUGACUUUGGGAUAACUUCAGGAAACUGGGGCUAAUACCGGAUAGGAGCUCCUGCUUCCUGGUGGGGGUUGGAAAGGUUCGGCGGUUGGGGAUGGACUCGCGGCUUAUCAGCUUGUUGGUGGGGUAGUGGCUUACCAAGGCUUUGACGGGUAGCCGGCCUGAGAGGGUGACCGGCCACAUUGGGACUGAGAUACGGCCCAGACUCCUACGGGAGGCAGCAGUGGGGAAUAUUGCACAAUGGGCGGAAGCCUGAUGCAGCAACGCCGCGUGCGGGAUGACGGCCUUCGGGUUGUAAACCGCUUUCGCCUGUGACGAAGCGUGAGUGACGGUAAUGGGUAAAGAAGCACCGGCUAACUACGUG